UUACAUUAACUUAUUUAUUUUUCUCAAACUAAAACUUUCUAUCUUCUAAAGGCUAAAGGCUACUUUUUCAAAAGGCUACAACCUUCUCCCCCCUACUAAAGCUAUCAUGAGACUUCCCUCUCUCUCUUCUUUUAACAACUACAAUCUUCUUUUCUCAAACUCAAAGAUUUGCAGGUUAAUGCAAGGACAAACAAUGGAGAAGAAGAACAAUUUUUUUUUGGAUCCAUUACAACCUUCUUGACCUUUUAAUGGAGGUAAUAUUUUUUCCAGAUAUGUUUUUACCCACAACCUCCCUGCUUCUACUCAUUCAUCUUCAUCAACAUUUUAUUCAUCUUUUUCAUCGUUAAUAUGUGAUGCUUUUGAGUUUUAUAUUAUGGUUUGAUGAGGUUAACAGAAAAAGUUAUCAAUUUUAUGGUUAUUGUUUCAUAAAAGUUAUCAUUUUUAUAGUUAUUGUUUUGAAAAAAAUUAACAUUUUUAUCAUCGUUAGUCUUUAUGUUGAUUUUUCUGUUUCGUCUUUAUGUUAUUAUUUGUUGUUUUUUUUUACAGUGAUGUAUAGUUUUGCAGCGUGAAUCUGUGGUGGCAGCAGAACGUUUCCGGCGCCGAGUGUGGUUGUGGUCGGAUUUGAAAUGGUUGUUAUAUUUUAUUGACUGAAAUGUGUAUCAUCUACACUUUUAUGAUUUCUUUUUAAUUUUUUUUUAACUUGCAGAUCUAUUAACUUAUUCAUUAGAUUUCA